UACGUAGGGGCCUAGCGUUGUCCGGAUUUAUUGGGCGUAAAGAGCUCGUAGGCGGUUCGGUAAGUCAGGUGUGAAAUCUCCACGCUCAACGUGGAGGCGCCACCUGAAACUGCCGUGACUCGAGUCCGGUAGGGGAGUGUGGAAUUCCCGGUGUAGCGGUGAAAUGCGCAGAUAUCGGGAGGAACACCAGUGGCGAAGGCGACUAUCUGGGCUGCAACUGACGCUGAGGCGCGAAGGCUAGGGUAGCAAACAGG
rnacentral:rRNA from 1 species